rnacentral:rRNA from 1 species
AGCAGCCGCGGUAAUUCCAGCUCCAAUAGCGUAUAUUAAAGUUGUUGCAGUUAAAAGCUCGUAGUUGAAUUUCGGGAUCAAGUCGUCGGUCGUGCUCAGGUACGUACUGGCGUCAUUGAUUUCUCCCUUCUGACGAACCAUGAUGUCAUUAAUUUGGUGUUAUGGGAAAUCAGGACUGUUACUUUGAAAAAAUUAGAGUGUUUAAAGCAGGCUCACGCUUGAAUACAUUAGCAUGGAAUAAUGAAAUAGGACGUUCGAUCCUAUUUUGUUGGUUUUAGAUCAACGUAAUGAUUAAUAGGGAUAGUUGGGGGCAUUAGUAUUCAAUUGUCAGAGGUGAAAUUCUUGGAUUUAUUGAAGACUAACUACUGCGAAAGCAUUUGCCAAGGAUGUUUUCAUUAAUCAAAGAACGAAAGUUUAGGGGAUCGAAGACGAUCAGAUACCGUCGUAGUCUUAACCAUAAACUAUGCCGACUAGGGAUCGGAUGAUGUUAAUUUUUUAAUGACUCAUUCGGCGCCUUACG